rnacentral:ncRNA from 1 species
GUAAAAGUAAUGAUAAGGACAAGAGUAUUUUUUUACGGUUUAUAGAGAGGGAGGUCAUGGCUGGAAGCCUCCUAACACGAAAAAAAUACUUACCACCUUUAAACUUCAACAGUGAACGCUUCAUUUAGAAGCCUGUAAUUGUUGACGGAUGCAGCCGUUACCUGAACUAGAGUCAUUUUUGAAGCAUUAGGUUUUCAAAAAUGAAAAAUUGGGUGGAACCACGUGUUAAUUAUAACUCGUCCCUUUA